UGAACGCUGGCGGCGUGCUUAACACAUGCAAGUCGAACGAGAACGGGUCAUAGCUUGCUAUGACUGUCAGCUAAGUGGCGGACGGGUGAGUAAUGUAUAGUUAAUCUGCCCCCUAGAGAGGGAUAACUACUGGAAACGGUAGCUAAUACCUCAUACUCCUUUUAUGGUAAACAUAGAAGGGAAAUGUCUUUUCGCUAGGGGAUGAGACUAUAUGGUAUCAGGUAGUUGGUAGGGUAAGAGCCUACCAAGCCAAUGACACCUAGCUGGUCUGAGAGGAUGAUCAGCCACACUGGAACUGAGACACGGUCCAGACUCCUACGGGAGGCAGCAGUGGGGAAUAUUGCACAAUGGGGGAAACCCUGAUGCAGCAACGCCGCGUGGAGGAUGACGCAUUUCGGUGUGUAAACUCCUUUUAUAUGGGAAGAUAAUGACGGUACCAUAUGAAUAAGCACCGGCUAACUCC
rnacentral:rRNA from 1 species